GUCUUCUUCCUUUUCCCCUUAUUUUUCCUCCAUGUCCUUUCCCCUUUUUUCCUCUUUGUCUAAUUCCACUCAUUGUUUACUAGACUGGUCAGGUGAUAGGUAGUGUUGGUGAUUCAGUUACUGGAUCAGUUAGGUGUUCUUAAGUCAUCAUUCUCAAUCAGACUCUGAUAAUAAUGAAAAUGUGCUAGUUCAUUGUACUAAAAACAGUUGUAGUUAACAUACUAUUAAAGGACUGCUCCCUUUAGAUCACAAUAAUUACUAAACAAGCCAUUGAAUUACAUUCGUUAUGCCCUGUAUACUGUUAUGAGGAAAUGACAAGAGAAUGAAAAGCUAAUGGGAUAUGAAGGACAUAUACACUGCUCACUAUUGGCCCUCCCUUAAACAUUCAUAUAUGGUGCAUUGUUUUUAUUGUAAAACCUUCUGGGAGGUGUAUUCUUACAAGUGCAUGAUAAAGUGGUAUAGGAAGGUAAACUAUGUACAGUAAAUUGGGCUACUUGACAAUGCUAAUUAGGAACUCUGUAAACUACAGACACUCUUUGAUAAACUAUCAGUCUGUCACACAUACUAUACUCUAUCACAUACAUUCUUUAAUAAACUAUUUUGUACUCUAUUAAAAUUAUCACAUAUAAUAAGUUCAUGAUAUUGCCUUCACUCGUGCUGGUAGUGGUAGGGAUCUUUUUGCUUCAGUUGGAUCAGAUGGAUCAGUACGCCUCUUUGACCUGAGGAAUUUGGAGCACUCCACGAUACUUUAUGAGGAGCCAAAGCAGCAGCCAUUAUUGAGGCUAUCAUGGAACAGACAAGAUCCUAACUACCUCUCAACCUUUGCACUGGACAGCCACGAGGUGAUUAUUAUGGAUAUCAGAGCACCUAGUAAACCAGUUGCACCCGUUUUGGUACAAUGUCCUAGAUAUGGUCAUGUUUAGUCUCUUAUCUUGCAUCAAUGUAAUCAUA